GACACUUUGGUAUUUUAAAAAGAUGUAGCUUUCUACGAGAAAAAUAUAUCGAAUGUUUAAGGGAGUACUGUUACAGAAACAGUUCACGUUGGAUUGAAUUGUUCGGUAUUUCCUUCUUUUGAGCCUGUGAAUGUCACCCUGGUCAAAAAAUAAUGUUAUGAAGUGUACUGCAACUGACGGCGUCUUUACUUCCAUUCAACAUCUUGCCGUAAACAAAGACUAACUUGUCUACAGUCAGGAUUUGGACUUUACGGUUUAGAAAAUACAGUUAGCAGAUGAUUAUUGAAUACAGAAAAAAUCACAACAAAUGUAGCUGUUUGUUUUUUAAUAAAGACAUUUAUUUCAAAUGUACUUAUGUAUCCUAAAACAUUACUUGAAAACAUUAAGCUUUUCCAACGUCCUCUGAAAAAUAGGUGAAUUCCACCUUAAAAUCUCUAUCCACGACAAAAACUAUUAUCUCUUUUUCUUUAAGUUAAAAAACUAAGAGGUUGACAAAGUGCAACUGUCAACCAUAAGUUUUUCAUCUAAAAGAUACAUGUAUUCAUAUACAAAUAUUAUAUAUAUAUACAUAUAUAUGUGAGAAAAAUAACCUAAUUGGAGAUCCAUGUUUAUGAUGAUGCAGAGAAUAAUUGACAAAAGUUUCAGUUUCUGCAUUAUUGGAAUGGAAUAACCAUGUUUGGUGAUAAGAAGAUAAAAAGUAACGGAGAGGACUUCAAAGAACUAGGAAUUACUAUUUUAUGAAAUUAAUAUAUUCCUCGACUUCAUGUUUACUUCCAAGCCAAAUACUGCUUUUUCCGUGUAAUGUUUUGGGUACCAAAUCCAGAAUGCGAUCUCCUUUGUCGUUUACCGCAAUACCUCCUGCUUGUUCAACAAGGAAGGCCAUGGGGAAACAUUCGUAAAGAAGUCUCAACUUUCCGUUAUUUCCUUUUGAGCAUGGAUAAGCAAACAACCCACCAUAAAGAAUGGUACGGUGCAUAUCGGCGACCAUAGAACCAAUGUAUCGAGCAGAGUAUGGUUUUUUGUCUGGUGUGCUUUCUUUGAGAUGAGCAAUAAAACGAGCGAUUUUUUCAUCCCAAAAUGCAGUGUAACCCUCAUUAAUGGAAUAAAUACUAUGUUGCAAAGGCAUUUUCAUGUUUCGAUGGGUCAAGAUGAAUUCGCCAAUAUCAGUGUCCAAGGUGAAGCCAUUGACACGAUGACCUGUGGUAAGCAAUAAAUGAGCCGAAGCACCAUACAUAGUAUAGCCAGCAGCAACCAUUUCUUUACCAGGCCUUAAGACAUCGCUAAUAUCGCCUUGACUGCCGGGUCGCAGUUUAUAGAUACCAAAUAUGGUACCUACACUAACACCGGCGUCAAUGUUGGAAGAGCCAUCGAUGGGAUCGCAAGUGACGGCAUAGGAACCGUUGCUAUCAACUACGAUAAGAUCCUCCUCUUCUUCACUAACGAUGAGUUUGCAGCAUCCGUUCGACUUCAUCGCAGUAAUGAAGAUAUCAUUGCAAAUUUUAUCUAGCUUCUUUUGUUCAUCGCCAGUGGAAUUGACGAUUCCCGAUAAACCAAUGAGAUUUACCAACUCUGCUUUACGAAUGGUGUUGGCGAUGAAUUUGAAGCUGAAUUGUAAACUGUUUAGCAGUAAUGACAAUUCCCCACUAGCCUCUUGAAUAAUGCAAGGUUUUCCUUCUUCAUUUUUAUGCUUCUGAUUGUAUCGGCGCUGUUCCUGCAAAAUAAAGGAGGAAAGUGUGACAAUGUCAGUGUCGAUUUCGUCGAGAUCUUUUUUCAUGAUGGAGUAAACGAAACCUGAAUCAACAAGAAACGGGGAAUGAAGUUGAAUAAGCUGGCCAGGUGAAUCCUAGCUGAAGUAAGUUUUUAAGAAAGAGGAGCAAAUCGGUUCUAAGUAGAACUGAGUUGAGCUGAGUUAAGUUGGGCUAGAAACCGAGUGGUGAGAUGAGAUGAUAUAAUAAGAGACGAGAGAGACGAAGAUGAAAAAAUUAAUAAUGAGUUGUGUUGUCUCUCUCCAGUGUAAACAAAAAAAAUCCUAACAAACGUUUCACCUUGACUGCUGCCCGCCACUAUUUAUAUAUUUACAAAAAUCAACGAGCCAUGAUGGAAGCGCCAUGUAUUUCCCAUGUAAACAACGUUUUGCCAGCAUAUGAAGUAUUCGCUAUGUUUAGUUCCGCGAAUCAUAAGCCUUUUAACAAUCUAAUCUUUAGUUGAAUGGACAACUAUGGCAAAUCCCUAUUUCAUACGCCCACCUGAGUGAUCCGCUUAAUUAAAAAUGCAUACACGAUAAACCUAAUCUUCAAAAAACGAGGGGCUUGCAAUGAAAACUACAGGGCAAUGCUGUUUCAGCCUGCUAAACAAAUGACAUACUGCAAUUCAACGAAGCCGGCUUACCAAACGAUUGCUAGAGCGGACUCAUUCCACCCUAUUCAUCUUUCCUAUAAUACUGCAAAAACGUAAAUACGGGAUGGGAAGGUUAGAGCUUGUAUCGUAUCGAGGUUUACGUGACUGAGAAAAUGGCAUGGCAUGGCAUGGCACUCCCUUAAUACAUUCGUAAAGGAUUGAGAGGCGAGCAUGACCGCUGCUUUCAUCACCGACCUCAAUUGCAUACCCACAGCAAUUACAUAAGAUCGACCCCAAUUGCCUAUGAUUUGAUGUCUAGCAAUUGUGUAUGAUUGAUCGCCAUUGUGUAGCUGUAGGUGUUAUUAUGUCUCUUUAAACUUGAACUUGUUUUCUCGUGCUGCUUUGGUAUAGUGUUGUACGUUUUAGAGCACACGAAUACAAGUUCAAGUUUAAAGUGGGCUUUAUGUGUCUUCUUACCUGUGUUAACUCAGAAUCAACAUAACAUGGCUUAUACAGCUAAAUGGCGCAGUGUAGUGUGCUGGAAUGCAGCAACGAAAAUCAGAAAUUGUGAAAUUCGAUGAUGAGUACUAAUGCUUUGUGACGUAGAUGAUUGGGAAGUGCUAAAGGUGGGUGGGUGGAUGGAGUAGUUAGUAGGAGGAGAAAUGAACCUUAAGAUAUAGAAAGAAGUGGAGAAAAUAAAUUCGUUCUAUAAUGACUGGUCAUCCAGGUAAUUAAAGAGAGGGAGAAAUUUUUGAGGUUGAUUGUUUUCAUCCCGCCCUUCCUAUUAGCAAUAAGGAAAUUUGGUGUUGUUUAUUUAACGAGAUUUUUCGUGGGUUGAUGGUAUGUGGCUUCAGAAUGGGAUAAUAACCUUGCAUUGAAAGAGCAGGAUAUAAAGCAUGCUUCAAAAUAUGUGUGCUAUUAGCUAUAUUUUAAAAGACGUGUAUUUUACCACAAAUUUAUUCUUCACAUGUAAUUUUCAUACAUUCACUUUUAUUCUUAUAUAAACUAAUGUCCCGUGGAAUUUUCACUAAGCUACUACUAUAUUUAUUCAUAGAACGAGAAACCACCCUUUGUGGACAUUUAGACUAUUAUUCUAACUUGAUUCACGUGCCGUGUUGGUAAAAGCAUAAGUUCAAUUAAAAGAGCUUUUAUCUCUAAAAUAGAAGCAACAAAUGCGAUGCGAGUAGGAAUGAAGUCAAUUCUUAAAGGUAAAGCUUCUACCAAGAUAAACUUACAUAUGAGUUAAUAAAUAUUAUGGUUAGGAUACUCAAAUUAUAAGAUAGCUUUUUG